UUCCAAAACUGUGAACUAAAUAAAUCUCUUUUCUUUCUAAAUUGCCCAGCUUUGGGUAUCCUGUCACAGCAAUAGAAAACGAAAUAAGCCAUGUUCUGUGCCUUCAUCCCUUCUUUGAACCUUCUCAGGCGUUCUUUCCUCUGUGCAGAUUUCUUCCCUUUCUCCCUGCUAGGCAACUUCUCCUUUCAUGCCUCCUCCUCCUCGUCCUCAUUUUCUUCCUCUAGGCAGGAAAGGUUAAGAAUACACGGCAGAGCAAAGCAUCCCACAUGACUGUACCUGUGGCAUAGGUGACUCUGAGCCUAUUAACUACUCUUAGGUGAAGUUUCUUCAUGUGGGGUUGCUUCUUUGGAUUCAGAUUCAGAGGCUACUGUGGGUCCCUGGUACCUGCUACCAUGCUCAGCACUAAUGAGGCGCUCAAGCUACAUUCUGUUGAAAGAGAGCAAAUGUCUCUGCCUCUGUUCCUAAGGCAGACCCCUACCUGGAGUUCCCUCUAGACUUCUGGGAUCUGAGGUGAUGGAACCAUCCCCAACUUUCCCAAACUGGAUAAUUUACAGCCAAAGAAUCGUGACUUCUCCCUCCCUCCCCCAUAAAAAAAAGCAGAAAACAAGUUGGACAUCAAAAGCCUUUUUAAAACCAACAUUUUGAUGACUUAAGAGUAUAUGAAUGAGAAACAUACGGCUUGAAUUUCCUCUACGAUACACAAGGGCUCUUUCUGGACUCACUUUCCAUUGCUGCCAAGCUAAUGAUGAGGGUGGAAGUUGCCCAAUUCUCACAUCAUCAACAGAUGGCUCCCCAUAUUUGGAAAAAUUUCACGUGGCACGGGAAGAAAACUGCCAGCCCCUGGAGUCGGCCUCAUGCCUGUUGGAUCUUUUGCCACCCCCCAUAUCUCAUCCGGGUUCAAGCGGAAAUUCCGUAGCCAUCAGCCUGAAGGCCUGAGGAGGUAGGACCCGUCUUUCUGGGGCUGGCAUUGAGGAAAUGGAGAGAUCUGCCAGGACCGCCCUGACAAGAGAAUCAGAACAAGAUGCCUCGUGCUGUUGAUGAACUCCCAACUCGUAGAGCCUCGAGGGAAGGCAGGAAGAUGGGCCAGUAUCCCAGGCACUCCCAUGUUUGUUCUCAGCUGGGCUUCACCCCCAGAAUGUGGGAAGUCCCCUGCUGAUAUGGCAUCCACAGCUAUAAACUGUCCUGUGAUUACAAAUUGUCUGUCAAGGGCAGAGUAUGGGAGUGACUCUUGGGCACCCCAGGAGGCAGCAAGAUGUCACUAAGAUGUUUGCCUCUGGAUGCAGUCGAGGUGAGAGGCAGUCCGCUUGCCAGUUUGAUGGCAAGUUGAGGCCUAUUCUGCCUGGAUUCUCUUGCCUGAAUUCCUCCUUCUGAGUUCUCAGCACAAACUUUCUCCACAGGGACAACACUGCAUCCAUUCUUUCUGCCAAACCUUAAAUGUAGGUGGCAGUCACCGUUGAUGGAGUCUGCUAUCCUUCAUUAACCCAAUCUUAGAAGUGAUUAUAUCGGGUGAAUCAGCAAACAUUGACUGAGUUAUUACUCACUACAGGCUUGCAUGUCAAAGAAUAUGAAAUGGUUUCCACUGUGCAAUAAGAUGCAGUGAAAUGUAGAAUAUUAUUAUUUCCCUAUUUUAAAAUGUUUAAUUGAUAUUUUGUUUGUAUGCAUGAUUGUGGGUAGGCUGAUGUGCAAUGGUGCACAUUUGGGGGUCAGAAAAGAGUUUUGAAGGGGUGGGUUCGCUUCCUACCUAGAUGUGGGUUUGGGAAACCAAACUCAGGGAAGCAGGUUAGUUCAGCAAGUGCCUUUACCCACUGGCCCAUCUCACCAGCCCUAUUUUUUUCUCUUGCCUAUUACCAUAAACCCUACCGGAUUGGCAGAUCCUGUCUUCCCAUGCUAGGGCUUACCAAGCAGUCACAUUUCUCUGGAUGGCUCAGUAGUUCAGCUAUAAGACACUUCUCACAGAUGCCACUUAGGCCAGGAUAUACACAUUCUUGUUCUUUCUUUUUUGAGGCACUCCAUAGUCUGUUUUUAUUGUGUUGUAACAGAAUGCCCCACAUAGAGCAGAAUUACAAAUGUACAAGAGUGCAAAAGAGAGGUUCAUUUUUAAAUCAAACAGGAAGGCAUGAUUCUUGUUUUAAAUGAGCAUGUCAACAUGGCUUGGGUCUUACAUGAGUCUGGACUUGAGAUCUGCAUGGUGGGACUGCCUUGCCUAUGGACUCACAACAUCACUCCAAUCCCUAGUAUCAACACAUGGAAUUGGGGUGCCACUAGUUAAACAGGAUCACUGUAAGAUCCUUUCCUGGGGCUUUCAUCAGCCCUCUAUAGACAUGUUCUGGACAGAACAAAAAUGAAUAGAAUUCCUCCAGGGUCAAUGGGCCUGGAGUAAUGACUCAAGGGUUAAGAGUACUGGUGGAUCUUGCAGAGUUCUGGAGUUCAAUUCCCAGCAUCUACAUGGCAGCUCACAAUUGUCUGUAGGAUCCGAUGCCCUUUUCUGAGAUGUAGAUAUACAUGCAAACA